ACAACCAAGCACUAAAUCCUACCACUUGGGGUGGCAAAUAACAAACCAAUAUACAGAUUAAUUUUUCACAAUGCCUGAUGGAUGAAUUUAACUCUAGCACAAUGAAAUUAUAAUGAAGGUAAUGCACUCCGCCAUGGUUAAAAGGAAAAUUCAAUUAUUGGAUAAUAAAAUAGAAUCAACAUUUUGAGCCUUCAAAGUAAGUGAACUAACAGCGCUAGGAAGCUAGAUGUGAGCACAAGCAGUAGGGAUGGAACACAAAUAAUCGGACUCCCACUAGCAUUAGCUGACUGUGAUGGUGGUAUCGCAGGGCAUGCUAGCCCCUCUUUCCC
rnacentral:misc_RNA from 1 species